rnacentral:lncRNA from 1 species
GUUCACAUUUAAAAAGAGGAAGAGACAUAGAGCAUCCAUGAUAAACGGCUCGUGCAGCAUCCUGACCUGACUAUCCAUUGUACUUGGCUUGAUGGCUGCAGCUCAUGGAAAGAUCAGCAGAUAUACACACCGUCUAGAUCUUAUCUACAUACUGGACAGAGCUCCAAUAUUUGGGAAAGCCAUCUACCUUGGUGAAGCCAUUUUCUUCAAUGCUGAUGAUGGUACCAAACAUAAAAAUCUUUCCAAGCUAUGGAAGCUAGUGAGAAGCUUUUUUAUGGAGAAUGAACCCCACAGGUUUAAUUUUCUCUAUGUUCUGCCACCAGUUAUCAGAGAACUGACCAAUGCAGUAGAGUAAGAUACUGUUUCCCUUGACGUCCAAAGACAGCUUUGAGAUGCCGACAAAAGUUUAGGUGAUGUGGAAGGGAAAGCCAGCUCUAUUUUUAAUGGCUGGCAUUUUGACUCACGGUUGACUCAUCACCCCUCUCACGGCAGCUCCUAUUCCCUGCCUGCCUCACUCUACCCUGUUUCUGCAGCCAGAAGCUGAUCUGGGGUCACCUUUUGAUUAGAUCCCAGAAUCUUCCCCACCAAAGCAUCCCUGCAUCAUACAAAGAACAUAUGGCUCGAGAUUGUGUGCUCUUGACUGUGCUGUCACCCGGUACUGGCUCUGGCCUUCGGUUGCCCUAUCUGUAAGAUGACAGGGAUGAAGAAAUAUCUACUGGGCCCCUUCCAGUUUUAAUGUUCAUACCCCAGAGUGAGAAAAGACAACACUUCUCAAGGUUUACCCAGUCUCCUCAUCCAAGCCUUUCCGUGGCAUUUUUGGCAGAGAGAACACUUAAAAAGGGUUGUCUGUGCGCCCCAGUCUUUCCUGCUUUCUAGGGCUAACAGAUGCGAGGUUAAUACUAAGUGAGAGCUGCAAAGUCAGGAAGAACACAGCCACUGAGACCCACUUCCCACGUGCUUUGCACAUUCCAGUGUGACAUUUGGUGGCUUAUUCUGAAUGCUUUACUCACUUCUGCUCUAAAAAGACAUGUACUUUAAGGGGCUCCUUCUCAUAGCGAAUACUUGAGCGAGCAAGACCCAUGUGCUCUGCGGCUCCAGGAAUGAAAGACUUUUAGCUCCUUCAAGCUGGAGCGCCAGUGGAUAGGUACCCUGCAGCUGAUUUUGAUAUAGCCUCUGUCCUCAUUCCACACCAAGGAUCAGAGGACACAGCCUGGCUAGCACUUGGAAUUUUCAGUUCAGGUAUUUGAGAUUCCAGCUUCACUACUUACUUGCCAUUUAAUCCUGGGCAAUGGUUUGAACACCAGUGUGCCUUACUCCCCCAUCUGCAACAAGAAGAUAACAUGCAUGUCUGCUUCAUAGGGUGGUGGUUAGAGUUAAAUGGCAUUGUCCACAUAAGAUAAUUAACAGGGUGCUUUAAUCAUAACAAGCAUUC